rnacentral:lncRNA from 10 species
CCGCGGGCCACGACCACCGCGUUGGGAAACCCGAGGACGGCAAAGAGCGGGCCCUUCGCGCCCCUGUCCGAGGGCCCUGGCUCCGGCCGUUCUAGGGGACGUUUUACCAACAAUCCGUCCAGGAAGGCAGAACGCCUAGGAGCGGGCCCUCGCAUGCAUGUGAGUCGGUAGCAGCGCCCUGCGCAGUGUCCGCGCACCGGACCCGCGGCUUCAGUUCGGUGCCUAAAGGUUCUGCAGAGCCACCGCACCCAGCCCCACCCGGCCUGACCGCCCUCCUUCCUCCGCGCUGGGAAGGCCCACGGCCCCUCUAGCCCAACAAAAUAGCUUUCCAGGUCCCUUUCUUUAAAAUUCUCAAAUAAAAAUUUAAGGAACGAGAGAGAGAGAGAGAGAGAAGCCAGGUCCCCAGCCGUCCUGCCGGUGCUGGGCUGCAGCCCUUCCUGGGGCUUCACGUCAGAUGGAAAGGGCCUGUUUUUCCCGAACUGGCCUUUCCCUGGUUUCUUUGCUCAGAGCAGUGACAGUAGCGAUUUGCUGCCCUUUUACCAACCCUGUGUGGGUCCAAGGACCCAGAUCCAGGGACAUCUUCCCUUUCCCAGAUGCGGAGGGCUUUUACUGAGGAGAGGACCUGCCUGGUAGCCUGCUUCGCCAUCCUCGUCUCCCUGUCUGCGUGCCCCUGUGUCACUCUGGCUCUGUCGGCGUGUCUCUUUCUCUGUCCUUUCUGUCUCUUUCUCCAGCAGAGAGAGUUCAUAGUUUAGUUUGAAAGAAAAACAGCUCAGCUUUGGUCCUGAGCAGCCCAGGGCUCAGCCCAGCCCUGAAGACCAGAGGCCCCGGGGACGCCCUGGAAGGGCAGCGCAAGCUGGAUUGCAGGCUCACCUCUGCCUGGGGAGAUGGACCUGGAGGAUUUCACCUGCGACCCCCCGGGGCGCCCUGGAGCUAUCAUAACCAGCAGCCCAGUUCAACCGUCUGGAUGCACUUUCUUCAUGGCGUGUCUUGUCUAUUUUAAAAUGCUUUAACAAUGAUUAUAGUACUGGAGGCUGUGAUACUGACGGCUGCCUGCGGAAAACCUUGCUUAACAGAAUUUGGAGUGACUUUCUUAUGCUGUAUUGCCAGCCCCUCAGAGUCAUUACCUGGGCAGUGACCCCUUGCAUACAUAGGAGAAGCUAAGGCACAGUGGCAUUUAGCAGCGUUUCCAAUGUCACCUGUAUGUUGGCUGGGGAAGUGACAGCAUUCCCCUCUUUUGAGGAGGGGAAUUUGCUGAAUUAAAACCCAAAUGAAAAUGUCAUCAAUUUGGGAAAUAAUACUCAGGUUAUUGAUUUAGUUUGAGUUUUUCUUUCAAAAAUUAAGUCAGUGAUAAGGCUAAUAAAGCCAAUUUAUUAAUAGCAUAAGUAAUACAAUAUAUCUCUGUGUGAAUACUCUUUGCAGGACCACCCAGGCUCACUUGGACUUCAGUAAAAUAUCACGCAACAAAGAUUCACAGAAGUAAAUACAGUUCUUGGGGUACUUAUUCAUUACUGAGUAUGGAAAAUCCUGUGAAUGCUUCCUUUCAUAUAUGUAAAAAAGUGUGCUUUGUUUCAUGUGACUUUGUGUUUUUUAAAAAAAAAUGAACUGGUGUUCUGAAAGAUUCUUCUAUUGCACAUUUUCCUUAGGGCAGCAAGUAACAGAAGGUGAUAUGUUUUCACAGCAAAUUUGCCAGCUAUUAGAUUGGCUUUAAUCUUGCUGCAGUAGAAUGACACUGCAGGGAUUGUCACCUGGGGAUAGUCUUCAAGAAUAGCAGCCAGGCACGGUGGCUCGCGCCUGUAAUCCCCCAACUCUUUGGGAGGCCAAGGCAGGUGGAUCACCUGAGGUUGGGAGGUCGAGACCAGCCUGGCCAACAUAGUGAAAGCCCAUUUGUACUAAAAAUACAAAAAUUAGCUGGGUGUGGUGGUGCAUGCCUGUAAUUUCAGCUACUCGGGAGGCUGAGGCAGGAUAAUCGCUUGAACCCAGGAGGCGGAGGUUGCAGUGAGCCAAGAUCAUGCCACUGCACUCCAGCCUGGACGAUAGAGCAAGACUGUGUCAAAAAAAAAAAAAAAGAAAGAAAAGAAAGAAAAAAGAAUACGACGCAAUUAUACAGCCCCUGGGCUUUCUUAGGAUAAGAAACUGUGUACUUGCUCAGAUGUGAAAAAAAUUUAGUAAACUCUCAGGAGCUAAAUAAAGC